rnacentral:rRNA from 1 species
AACGAACGCUGGCGGCAUGCCUAACACAUGCAAGUCGAACGAGACCUUCGGGUCUAGUGGAGCACGGGUGCGUAACGCGUGGGAACCUGCCCUUAGGUUCGGAAUAACUCCCCGAAAGGGGUGCUAAUACCAGAUAAUGUCUUCGGACCAAAGAUUUAUCGCCUUUGGAUGGGCCCGCGUUGGAUUAGCUAGUUGGUAGGGUAAAAGCCUACCAAGGCGACGAUCCAUAGCUGGUCUGAGAGGAUGAUCAGCCACACUGGGACUGAGACACGGCCCAGACUCCUACGGGAGGCAGCAGUGGGGAAUAUUGGACAAUGGGCGAAAGCCUGAUCCAGCAAUGCCGCGUGAGUGAUGAAGGCCUUAGGGUUGUAAAGCUCUUUUACCCGGGAUGAUAAUGACAGUACCGGGAGAAUAAGCUCCGGCUAACUCCGUG